UUUCUUAUUAAUUCCCUCAUUUGUUAGAGGAAUUUAAUGAUAGAAUUUUACGACCAGAAUUAUCAAAUGAUGAAAUGCUGUCUCUUCAUGAAGAAUUGCAGAAGAUUUAUAAAACAUACUGUUUGGAUGAAAGUAUUGACAAAAUUAGAUUUGAUCCCUUCAUUGUAGAAGAGAUUCAAAGAAUUGCUGAAGGCCCAUACAUAGAUGUUGUGAAACUUCAAACUAUGAGAUGUCUUUUUGAAGCAUAUGAACAUGUUCUUUCCCUUUUGGAGAAUGUAUUUACUCCUAUGUUCUGCCAUAGUGAUGAGUAUUUCAGACAACUUUUAAGAGGUGCAGAAUCACCAACACGCAAUUCAAAAUUGAACAGGAACACACAGAAAAGGGGAGAAUCAUUUGGAAUCAGCAGAAUAGGUAGCAAAAUUAAAGGAGUAUUCAAAAGUACCACAAUGGAGGGAGCUAUGUUGCCUAAUUAUGGUGUAGCUGAAGGUGAAGAUGAUUUUAUUGAAGAAGGUAUUGUUGUAAUGGAAGAUGAUUCUCCAGUGGAGGCUGUGAGCACACCUAAUACUCCCCGAAACCUUGCUGCAUGGAAAAUUAGCAUUCCAUAUGUAGACUUUUUUGAGGAUCCCUCCUCUGAAAGGAAAGAGAAAAAAGAAAGAAUUCCUGUAUUUUGUAUUGAUGUUGAAAGAAAUGAUAGGAGAGCAGUUGGACACGAGCCUGAACAUUGGUCUGUCUAUAGAAGAUAUCUUGAAUUCUAUGUACUUGAAUCAAAACUAACAGAAUUUCAUGGUGCAUUUCCUGAUGCCCAGCUUCCUUCUAAGAGGAUCAUUGGCCCCAAAAAUUAUGAAUUCUUAAAGUCAAAGAGGGAAGAGUUCCAAGAAUAUCUAC
rnacentral:sRNA from 1 species